UUUUGCUCAACACUCUCACAGGAUUAGACAAGUAAAAUGAUAGUUUUGCUUCAACUAGUUUUCCUUUCGGUAGCUUUUGGAGGUAAAUCCAUCCUUUCAGUUAAAGAUGGUUGGGGUACUCUGGGAGUUAAUAACAUGCAGCAGAAUUCUAAAAAUGCCCUUCUUUCUAGGUGUCCAGUCAGAGGUCCAGCUGGUGGAGUCUGGAGGAGACGUGAAAAGGCCGGGGGAAUCCCUCCGCCUCUCCUGUUGAGCCUCUGGGUUUAACUUUGGGGACUAUGGCAUGCACUGGGUGAGACAGGCUCCUGGGAAGGGCCUGGAAUGGGUAGCCUACAUAUAUCCUCAAUCUAAUUACAUUUACUACUUGGAUAAAGUGAAGGGAAGAUUCACCAUCUCCAGGGACAAUUCCAACAGCCUCCUCUAUCUGCAAAUGAACAGCCUUAAACCCGAAGACGCGGCUGUGUAUUACUGUGCAAGAGA